rnacentral:misc_RNA from 1 species
UGGGCUGCCAACGAAUUUUGAGGAUAAAUCUGGCACCGUGCCACUCAAUUGGUUGUAAGAGAGAUUCAGAAAACGCACCCUAGGAGAUAGGUCCCAAAACCACUCAGGAACAGAACCUGAAAGUCCAGCAUCUGAGAUAUCAAGUGAGAUAUAGUCAUUUUGAGUUUGAAGCCAUUUCGGGAAAUCAGGCCCCAAAUUGCAGGACAUAAGACAUAUUACAUCCAACUGAAAAGGAGGAAACCAAUCAGAGUUGAAUUUCAAAACCAGAGGGUUGUCAUUCAAGAACAAUUCCUGUAAUUGGGAGAGAUUCCAAAAGUGAGUUUCGG